rnacentral:rRNA from 1 species
UUAAGCGACUAAGCGUACACGGUGGAUGCCCUGGCAGUCAGAGGCGAUGAAGGACGUGCUAAUCUGCGAUAAGCGUCGGUAAGGUGAUAUGAACCGUUAUAACCGGCGAUUUCCGAAUGGGGAAACCCAGUGUGUUUCGACACACUAUCAUUAACUGAAUCCAUAGGUUAAUGAGGCGAACCGGGGGAACUGAAACAUCUAAGUACCCCGAGGAAAAGAAAUCAACCGAGAUUCCCCCAGUAGCGGCGAGCGAACGGGGAGCAGCCCAGAGCCUGAAUCAGUGUGUGUGUUAGUGGAAGCGUCUGGAAAGGCGCGCGAUACAGGGUGACAGCCCCGUACACAAAAAUGCACAUGCUGUGAGCUCGAUGAGUAGGGCGGGACACGUGGUAUCCUGUCUGAAUAUGGGGGGACCAUCCUCCAAGGCUAAAUACUCCUGACUGACCGAUAGUGAACCAGUACCGUGAGGGAAAGGCGAAAAGAACCCCGGCGAGGGGAGUGAAAAAGAACCUGAAACCGUGUACGUACAAGCAGUGGGAGCACGCUUAGGCGUGUGACUGCGUACCUUUUGUAUAAUGGGUCAGCGACUUAUAUUCUGUAGCAAGGUUAACCGAAUAGGGGAGCCGAAGGGAAACCGAGUCUUAACUGGGCGUUAAGUUGCAGGGUAUAGACCCGAAACCCGGUGAUCUAGCCAUGGGCAGGUUGAAGGUUGGGUAACACUAACUGGAGGACCGAACCGACUAAUGUUGAAAAAUUAGCGGAUGACUUGUGGCUGGGGGUGAAAGGCCAAUCAAACCGGGAGAUAGCUGGUUCUCCCCGAAGCUAUUUAGGUAGCGCCUCGUGAAUUCAUCUCCGGGGGUAGAGCACUGUUUCGGCAAGGGGGUCAUCCCGACUUACCAACCCGAUGCAAACUGCGAAUACCGGAGAAUGUUAUCACGGGAGACACACGGCGGGUGCUAACGUCCGUCGUGAAGAGGGAAACAACCCAGACCGCCAGCUAAGGUCCCAAAGUCAUGGUUAAGUGGGAAACGAUGUGGGAAGGCCCAGACAGCCAGGAUGUUGGCUUAGAAGCAGCCAUCAUUUAAAGAAAGCGUAAUAGCUCACUGGUCGAGUCGGCCUGCGCGGAAGAUGUAACGGGGCUAAACCAUGCACCGAAGCUGCGGCAGCGACGCUUAUGCGUUGUUGGGUAGGGGAGCGUUCUGUAAGCCUGCGAAGGUGUGCUGUGAGGCAUGCUGGAGGUAUCAGAAGUGCGAAUGCUGACAUAAGUAACGAUAAAGCGGGUGAAAAGCCCGCUCGCCGGAAGACCAAGGGUUCCUGUCCAACGUUAAUCGGGGCAGGGUGAGUCGACCCCUAAGGCGAGGCCGAAAGGCGUAGUCGAUGGGAAACAGGUUAAUAUUCCUGUACUUGGUGUUACUGCGAAGGGGGGACGGAGAAGGCUAUGUUGGCCGGGCGACGGUUGUCCCGGUUUAAGCGUGUAGGCUGGUUUUCCAGGCAAAUCCGGAAAAUCAAGGCUGAGGCGUGAUGACGAGGCACUACGGUGCUGAAGCAACAAAUGCCCUGCUUCCAGGAAAAGCCUCUAAGCAUCAGGUAACAUCAAAUCGUACCCCAAACCGACACAGGUGGUCAGGUAGAGAAUACCAAGGCGCUUGAGAGAACUCGGGUGAAGGAACUAGGCAAAAUGGUGCCGUAACUUCGGGAGAAGGCACGCUGAUAUGUAGGUGAAGUCCCUCGCGGAUGGAGCUGAAAUCAGUCGAAGAUACCAGCUGGCUGCAACUGUUUAUUAAAAACACAGCACUGUGCAAACACGAAAGUGGACGUAUACGGUGUGACGCCUGCCCGGUGCCGGAAGGUUAAUUGAUGGGGUUAGCCGCAAGGCGAAGCUCUUGAUCGAAGCCCCGGUAAACGGCGGCCGUAACUAUAACGGUCCUAAGGUAGCGAAAUUCCUUGUCGGGUAAGUUCCGACCUGCACGAAUGGCGUAAUGAUGGCCAGGCUGUCUCCACCCGAGACUCAGUGAAAUUGAACUCGCUGUGAAGAUGCAGUGUACCCGCGGCAAGACGGAAAGACCCCGUGAACCUUUACUAUAGCUUGACACUGAACAUUGAGCCUUGAUGUGUAGGAUAGGUGGGAGGCUUAGAAGUGUGGACGCCAGUCUGCAUGGAGCCGACCUUGAAAUACCACCCUUUAAUGUUUGAUGUUCUAACGUUGACCCGUAAUCCGGGUUGCGGACAGUGUCUGGUGGGUAGUUUGACUGGGGCGGUCUCCUCCUAAAGAGUAACGGAGGAGCACGAAGGUUGGCUAAUCCUGGUCGGACAUCAGGAGGUUAGUGCAAUGGCAUAAGCCAGCUUGACUGCGAGCGUGACGGCGCGAGCAGGUGCGAAAGCAGGUCAUAGUGAUCCGGUGGUUCUGAAUGGAAGGGCCAUCGCUCAACGGAUAAAAGGUACUCCGGGGAUAACAGGCUGAUACCGCCCAAGAGUUCAUAUCGACGGCGGUGUUUGGCACCUCGAUGUCGGCUCAUCACAUCCUGGGGCUGAAGUAGGUCCCAAGGGUAUGGCUGUUCGCCAUUUAAAGUGGUACGCGAGCUGGGUUUAGAACGUCGUGAGACAGUUCGGUCCCUAUCUGCCGUGGGCGCUGGAGAACUGAGGGGGGCUGCUCCUAGUACGAGAGGACCGGAGUGGACGCAUCACUGGUGUUCGGGUUGUCAUGCCAAUGGCACUGCCCGGUAGCUAAAUGCGGAAGAGAUAAGUGCUGAAAGCAUCUAAGCACGAAACUUGCCCCGAGAUGAGUUCUCCCUGACCCUUUAAGGGUCCUGAAGGAACGUUGAAGACGACGACGUUGAUAGGCCGGGUGUGUAAGCGCAGCGAUGCGUUGAGCUAACCGGUACUAAUGAACCGUGAGGCUUAACCUU